CGCCGAUUGGUCGACCAGGCCCCGGUGCCCUCGACCAAUCAGAAAGGACGAUGGAGAGCGGGGGCGGAAGAGCGAAGGAAAAGGGGAAGCGAGAGGCGCUAUGAGGAAGGGCCUUGGGGGAAGGUUGCGCUGGGAGGGGCGCGGCGGGGGCCGGGCAGGGAUGGACCACGUGCCUCCGGAGCUGGGGCGAGGGAGCCCAGAGAAUUAGAUCUGAGAGGUGGGAAGGGAGGGGCUUGUUGGUCCCAGUUCUAGGGGCCGGCCCAGACAUCUGGGGUACAAGAUAGAAGCCGAGUUAAAGUACGUUCUUUCUUCUGUGUUGCUCCCUCUCUUCCUGGGCAUUACUUGCGCGCUCCGCUAGCUUUGCAGGAAGUGGAAGCUGCGCCUCGGCUUCUCGCCGGUCGGAACACCCCCUUGGUCCUGGUCCUGGUCCUGGUGCUGGUCCCAUUACCUAGCUCCGUUACCAGGCAAGGGGUGCCUGCCUUCCGAGGGCCGGGCCUGGGGCCUGGGCUGGCCAUGGUGACUGGCGUUCCGGAGGUGCUGCGGGAAGCGGAGGGACGGUGGGCGGAAAAUGACGCGUUCGGCAGAUCUGAUUCAUCCCCUCUGACCAAGUCCCCGCAACAGUCUCCCAGCUACAACGGAUUGUCUCUGAUGAUUAAAUGACAAGGGAGCGUCUCUGCAGAAUACUCUUAAAAGAAGGGUGUGAUCACAGUGACCUACUGAGAAAGAUGCAAAACAAACAGGAAAUAACCACAACGUGUAAUUUCAGGAAAAUAUAGUCGAUCAGUUAUUGGGGACUUCAUUUAUUCUUCUUCAUUGUCAAAAAUUUCUGGCUUACAACUUGAGGAGCCUGGGAAAAAUUACUUUAUUUUGAGUGAAGUAACUGAAUGAUGAGAAAUUCAAAACAGAUUUGGUAAUUUGCCCAGGAUCACAGUAAAUACAAGAGCUGACAUUUGAACUGGGUCUGACACCAGAGCCAGCACUCCUGAUUACUAUGUAGGCUGUAAAGAAAUGCAGUUGUGAAAUGCCUAAGGCAGUAGUUCUCAACUUUAACGUGUGCUUUAGAACCACCUGCAAGACUUACAACCCAAAUUGGUGGACUCCAUCUCCAGUUUCUGAUUAGUAACUCUGGGAGAUCACCUGAAGAUUUGAAUUUCUAACAAGUGCUCACUGAUGGUACUGGUUACUGGAAUAUACUUUGAGAACCACUAGAUCUGGUGUAACAUCUCAUGUAAGGUGGUUUCAGCCUCAGCUUAGAGUCGAAGGGGAAAGAAGCAUUGUUUAAAAUCAGAUUUGGAUGAAAAUGGAAGUCCCAGGUUCUGAUUUGGACCUCUCCAAAAACAAGUUUGGACCUGGACUUUGGAGCCCUACGUGGGCCUUCCCCACGAAGAAUGAAAAUGGAAGUGACUUAGAUCUCUUUGCCCGCUAUUCGUUAAUA